UACGAAGGGGGCUAGCGUUGCUCGGAAUUACUGGGCGUAAAGGGCGCGUAGGCGGUUCUAUAAGUCAGGCGUGAAAUUCCUGGGCUUAACCUGGGGGCUGCGCUUGAGACUGUGGGACUUGAGGUCAGAAGAGGGUCGUGGAAUUCCCAGUGUAGCGGUGAAAUGCGUAGAUAUCUGGAGGAACACCGGUGGCGAAGGCGGCAUCCUGGACCAACACUGACGCUGAGUGAGCGAAAGCCAGGGGAGCGAACGGG
rnacentral:rRNA from 1 species